rnacentral:lncRNA from 1 species
GGUUCCCUCAGCUCUGCAAACACAGCCUAACUCUGCUACUUCCUAAGACUGCGUCAGUGUAUGAGGCAAGGAGAACGGGGGCUGCAGUCUGGAAGAAUCCAGGAGCUCUGCACUGCAGACAACCUGGACAGGCUGGACUGGAGUCUGAGUCCCCCAUCUUGGUGGGAGUGGCCUAAUCCAGCUGCAGCUGCUUAUUGGCUGUUGUUCUUAAGCAACAGUUUUCCUUACUUGGACUCAACCUUCCAGCCCAGUUUACUUUGGGGGAAAGCAAGUGAAGGUUGCUCUUGUCAGGCUCAGCUUUUGACAGUCAUAGAGAAUGAAAGUCAUCCUUGCUCUGAAGCCUUGUCUCCAGGCUCACCUGGCUGGUAGGCAAGGCCUCUAGCUUUCAUCGUCCUUCUUUAAAUGGCC